rnacentral:sRNA from 1 species
AGUUCAGAUACAAUCAAAUCAGUUUAUAUAAGAUUCCACUACGGUUUAAACAGUUCAAUUUGGUUCGGUGCCCUUAGUUUAACUAUUUUAGGUGAAAGUUUAAUAAUGAAAAGUAGGUCUGGGCACGAAGCGAAUAUUCGGAAAAAUUGUGAUAUUUGUUAUUCGAUUCGUUUUAACCGAAUACUUGAUUUUAUGAUUUGCUUUGAUUCGAAACUUUCCGGAUAUCCGGAAUUUCGAAUAUCCGGAUUUUUUUGUGAUAUUUGCGGAUAUCCGCUUUGAUACGUAUAAAUAUUUUAAAAAAAUAUAUAAACUAUAUAACCAUAUCAGAUAUUCAAAGUUUUUAUUUAACAUGCUUUCAAAAUAAGUUCUAAAUACCAAAUAUAACCUUUGUUGUUAUCACCGGUCAACAAAAAUGUUAUCAAACUAAUUCCAAAAACUAAAACUCGAUAGUUUUUGAUGUCAUUGAUCAAAACAUAACAUAAAAAAAA